AGUUUGAUCAUGGCUCAGAACGAACGCUGGCGGCAGGCUUAACACAUGCAAGUCGAACGCUCCGCAAGGAGAGUGGCAGACGGGUGAGUAACGCGUGGGAAUCUACCCAGUUCUACGGAACAACUGAGGGAAACUUCAGCUAAUACCGUAUACGCCCUAUGGGGGAAAGAUUUAUCGGAAUUGGAUGAGCCCGCGUAAGAUUAGCUAGUUGGUGAGGUAAUGGCUCACCAAGGCGACGAUCUUUAGCUGGUCUGAGAGGAUGAUCAGCCACACUGGGACUGAGACACGGCCCAGACUCCUACGGGAGGCAGCAGUGGGGAAUAUUGGACAAUGGGCGCAAGCCUGAUCCAGCCAUGCCGCGUGAGUGAUGAAGGCCUUAGGGUUGUAAAGCUCUUUCAGUGGGGACGAUAAUGACGGUACCCACAGAAGAAGCCCCGGCUAACUUCGUG
rnacentral:rRNA from 1 species